GAUUAACGCUGGCGGCGUGCAUAACACAUGCAAGUCGAACGAUGAAACUUAACUGAUUUCUUCGGAAUGAUUUUAAGUGGAUUAGUGGCGGACGGGUGAGUAACGCGUGAGUAACCUGCCUUGGAGAAGGGGAUAGCCUUUGGAAACGAAGAAUAAUACCCUAUGAUAUGAUAAUAUCUCAUGAUAUUAUCCUCAAAGAUUUAUCGCUCUAAGAUGGACUUGCGUCUGAUUAGUUAGUUGGUGAGGUAACAGCUCACCAAGGCAGCGAUCAGUAGCCGGCUUGAGAGAGUGUACGGCCACAUUGGGACUGAGACACGGCCCAGACUCCUACGGGAGGCAGCAGUGGGGAAUUUUGCACAAUGGGGGAAACCCUGAUGCAGCGACGCCGCGUGAUUUAGAAGGCCUUCGGGUUGUAAAAAUCUUUUGUAUGGGAAGAAAAUGACAGUACCAUACGAAUAAGGACCGGCUAAUUACGUG
rnacentral:rRNA from 1 species